UCCUGAUAACACCUCAGCAAGACGGGCAC
rnacentral:piRNA from 1 species